rnacentral:lncRNA from 1 species
UGAGUUGACAUUGCCGUGGUGGAGUUACACCUGCAGCCAUGCCACAUGGGUCUGCAUGGGUCAGCAUAACUCCUAUGGGAUCUCAUUUGCAAGAUGAAUGUUCUUGACGGGAAAUGUGAAAUUCAUGGAAGGCAAGCAGAUCAGUGUAAGCAGCUGAAGUUCUAGAAAGUAUGAAUGAAUAUUCUUGAAAAAAAAAGAAAAAAAAAGUUUUCAUCAUAUUUUCAUCAUUCAACUCAGCUAAAAACCUUGCUCUGACUUUGUUGUUCUCCUUGUUGAGAAAAAUGGGCUGCAGUAAGCACAGCUUUUCACACUACAGUUUCCUACAUUUGUGUCGUUCUUUGGGCUUGUAAUUAAAUAUUGAAGAGACAGAGGAAGGAAGUAGAGGGCAAGAAAGACACCGAGUUUACUGAAUACAACAAUUGUUUUUCUAACCCUGUGCAUGUGUGUGGAUGCUUGGUUUGGAAGGCACACCAGAGGGAAGACAAAUCAAUAAAAGCUGUUCUCACAGGUUUGAAAUUAAACAUUUAUAAAGCACUGGUAUAAGGGAGGUUUUGACUUUAUCUGUUUUACAUGUUUUCACUCACAAAAAUUCAGUUUUGAUGAGACCUUUUUCCAGUUUACAAUAGAAGUUAUUUUUUAGAAUUUCUUUGUGGUUAUUGACAUGACUUUCAAAACUGACCAAUGAUUUUGAUUGAGGAAAGAUGUUUAUGUAAAUAUUUUAAAGAACC